rnacentral:rRNA from 1 species
UGCUUCUAAUUAACCUAGCGGCGGACGGGUGAGUAACACGUAGGCAACCUGCCCACAAGACAGGGAUAACUACCGGAAACGGUAGCUAAUACCCGAUACAUCCUUUUCCUGCAUGGGUGAAGGAGGAAAGGCGGAGCAAUCUGUCACUUGUGGAUGGGCCUGCGGCGCAUUAGCUAGUUGGUGGGGUAAUGGCCUACCAAGGCGACGAUGCGUAGCCGACCUGAGAGGGUGAUCGGCCACACUGGGACUGAGACACGGCCCAGACUCCUACGGGAGGCAGCAGUAGGGAAUCUUCCGCAAUGGGCGAAAGCCUGACGGAGCAACGCCGCGUGAGUGAUGAAGGUUUUCGGAUCGUAAAGCUCUGUUGCCAGGGAAGAACGUCUUAUAGAGUAACUGCUAU